rnacentral:rRNA from 1 species
CGAUCUCUAGCUGUUCUGAGAGGAAGAUCAGCCACACUGGGACUGAGACACGGCCCAGACUCCUACGGGAGGCAGCAGUGGGGAAUAUUGCACAAUGGGGGAAACCCUGAUGCAGCCAUGCCGCGUGUGUGAAGAAGGCCUUCGGGUUGUAAAGCACUUUCAGUUGUGAGGAAAGGUUGGUAGUUAAUACCUGCCAGCUGUGACGUUAACAACAGAAGAAGCACCGGCUAACUCCGUGCCAGCAGCCGCGGUAAUACGGAGGGUGCGAGCGUUAAUCGGAAUUACUGGGCGUAAAGCGCACGCAGGCGGUUUGUUAAGCUAGAUGUGAAAGCCCCGGGCUCAACCUGGGAUGGUCAUUUAGAACUGGCAGACUAGAGUCUUGGAGAGGGGAGUGGAAUUCCAGGUGUAGCGGUGAAAUGCGUAGAGAUCUGGAGGAACAUCAGUGGCGAAGGCGACUCCCUGGCCAAAGACUGACGCUCAUGUGCGAAAGUGUGGGUAGCGAACAGGAUUAGAUACCCUGGUAGUCCACACCGUAAACGCUGUCUACUAGCUGUGUGUGAAUUUAAUUCGUGCGUAGCGAAGCUAACGCGCUAAGUAGACC